rnacentral:rRNA from 1 species
CCGCACAAGCGGUGGAGCAUGUGGUUUAAUUCGACGCAACGCGAAGAACCUUACCAGGGCUUGACAUCCCCUGACCGCGUAUGAAAGUACGUUUUCACCCUCGGGUGACAGGGAGACAGGUGGUGCAUGGUUGUCGUCAGCUCGUGUCGUGAGAUGUUGGGUUAAGUCCCGCAACGAGCGCAACCCCUACGUUUAGUUGCUAACGCGUGAAGGCGAGCACUCUAGACGAACUGCCGUUGACAAAACGGAGGAAGGUGGGAUGACGUCAAAUCAUCAUGCCCCUUAUGUUCUGGGCUACACACGUGCUACAAUGGCCGGUACAGACGGACGCAAAGCCGCGAGGUGGAGCAAAUCCUAAAAAGCCGGUCUCAGUUCGGAUUGCAGGCUGCAAUUCGCCUGCAUGAAGUCGGAAUCGCUAGUAAUCGCAGGUCAGCAUACUGCGGUGAAUACGUUCCCGGGCCUU